rnacentral:rRNA from 1 species
UUUUNGAAUAUAAUUUAAAGUAGGGCCUGCCCACUGAGUAAUUGAAGGGCCGCAGUAUUUUGACUGUGCAAAGGUAGCAUAAUCAUUAGUUUUUUAAUUGAAAGCUUGUAUGAAUGGUUUGAUGAGAAAAUAACUUUCUAUAUUAAAAUUAUAAAGAACUUUAUUUUUAAGUUAAAAAGCUUAAAUUUUUUUAAUAGACGAGAAGACCCUUUAGAGUUUAAUUUAAAUAAGAGUUUUAAUUUAUGGAAUUAUUUAAUUUUAGUUUUUAUUUAAAUUUGAUUGGGGUGAUUAAAAAAUUAAAGAAACUUUUUUUAUAUACGUACAUUGAUUUAUGAAUUUUUGAUCCAUAAAAAUGAUUAAAAGAUUAAAUUACCUUAGGGAUAACAGCGUUAUUUUUUUUUAGAGUUCAGAUCGAAAAAAAAGAUUGCGACCUCGAUGUUGGAUUAAAAUUUAUGUUAGGUGUAGAAGCUUAAUAAUUUGGUCUGUUCGACCAUUAAAAUUUUACA